UACGAGGGGUCCUAGCGUUGUUCGGAAUCAUUGGGCGUAAAGGGUGUGUAGGUGGCCAUUCAAGUCAGUUGUGAAAUCCCCGGGCUCAACCCGGGAAGUGCUUCUGAUACUGUUUGGCUUGAGUACUGGAGAGGAUAGUAGAAUUCCUGGUGUAGUGGUGAAAUACGUAGAUAUCAGGAGGAACACCGGUGGCGAAGGCGGUUCUCUGGGCAUGAUCUGACGCUGAGGAGCGAAAGUGUGGGGAGCGAACAGG
rnacentral:rRNA from 1 species